GACGAACGCUGGCGGCGUGCUUAACACAUGCAAGUCGAACGAUGAAGCUCUUCGGGGUGGAUUAGUGGCGAACGGGUGAGUAACACGUGAGUAACCUGCCCUUCACUUCAGGAUAAGCCUUGGAAACGGGGUCUAAUACUCGAUAUGACUCAAGCUCGCAUGGGUUUGGGUGGCAAGAUUUUUGGGUGGGGGAUGGGCUCGCGGCCUAUCAGCUUGUUUGUGAGGUAGUGGCUUACCAAGGCGACGACGGGUAGCCGGCCUGAGAGGGUGACCGGGCACACUGGGACUGAGACACGGCCCAGACUCCUACGGGAGGCAGCAGUGGGGAAUAUUGCACAAUGGGCGCAAGCCUGAUGCAGCGACGCCGCGUGAGGGAUGAAGGCCUUCGGGUUGUAAACCUCUUUCGUCAGGGAAGAAGCGAAAGUGACGGUACCUGAAGAAGAAGCACCGGCUAACUACGUGCCAGCAGCCGCAGUAA
rnacentral:rRNA from 1 species